rnacentral:rRNA from 1 species
UACGUAGGAUGCAAGCGUUGUCCGGAAUUAUUGGGCGUAAAGAGCGCGCAGGCGGUAUGACAAGUCAGAUGUGAAAGAGGCCGGCUUAACCGGCAAGGGUCAUUUGAAGCUGUCAGACUAGAGUGCAGCAGAGGAUAGUGGAAUUCCCGGUGUAGUGGUGAAAUGCGUAGAUAUCGGGAGGAACACCAGUGGCGAAGGCGACUAUCUGGGCUGCAACUGACGCUGAGGCGCGAAGGCUAGGGUAGCAAACAGG